rnacentral:rRNA from 1 species
UACGAAGGGGGCUAGCGUUGUUCGGAAUUACUGGGCGUAAAGCGCACGUAGGCGGCUUUGUAAGUUAGAGGUGAAAGCCCGGGGCUCAACCCCGGAAUUGCCUUUAAGACUGCAUCGCUUGAAUCCGGGAGAGGUGAGUGGAAUUCCCGGUGUAGCGGUGAAAUGCGCAGAUAUCGGGAGGAACACCAGUAGCGAAGGCGACACUCUGGGCCGGUACUGACGCUGAGGAGCGAAAGCGUGGGGAGCAAACAGG